ACAAGCGGUGGAGCAUGUGGUUUAAUUCGAUGCAACGCGAAGAACCUUACCUGGGCUUGACAUCCCGGGAAUCCCUGGGAAACAGGGAGUGCCCUUCGGGGAACCCGGUGACAGGUGCUGCAUGGCUGUCGUCAGCUCGUGUCGUGAGAUGUUGGGUUAAGUCCCGCAACGAGCGCAACCCUUGUCUUUAAUUGCCAUCAUUUAGUUGGGCACUUUAAAGAGACUGCCGGUGUUAAGCCGGAGGAAGGUGGGGAUGACGUCAAGUCCUCAUGGCCUUUAUGCCCAGGGCUACACACGUGCUACAAUGCCCACUACAAAGCGAUGCCACCCGGCAACGGGGAGCUAAUCGCAAAAAGGUGGGCCCAGUUCGGAUUGGGGUCUGCAACCCGACCCCAUGAAGCCGGAAUCGCUAGUAAUCGCGGAUCAGCCAUGCCGCGGUGAAUACGUUCCCGGGCCUU
rnacentral:rRNA from 1 species